GUAAAUGGCGACGGAGGACAGCAAACUCCUCCACCCCCUCCUUCUCCUCCUAUCUUCUUCGUCCUCACCAUUCUCCGCUAUCUCACUUUUCUUCUCCAGGUGCUCUCUCCGUACGUUUUUGUUGAGUUUGUCAUUUAAUUAAACGGCGAUGAUAUUUAGGAAACUAAGAAAAAUAAUUAGAGAGAGAGAGAGAAAAGGAGGAUUUUUUUUGCUGUAGAUGUCUGGUGGAGAGAGAGAGGAGAAGCAAUGGAAAUGUGGAAAAGCGAUAUCGGUGGUGAAUUUACAGAGAGUAGGAACAAUGGGGAAGGAUAUGAGAGCCUUGUCUUCCUCAAUCACUUAUAAAGGUUGUUAUAACUGUAAGCAAAAUGCUUAAGCCGGAGAAAUGGGAGUCGACUUUUGAUAGUAAUGGAAAGGUUUCGGGUUUUCGGAAAGCACUCAAGUUGAUAGUUUUGGGGGGUGUGGAUCCGUCUAUUAGGCUAGAAGUUUUGGAAUUUCUACUUGGCU